AGGUAAUGAGCUUGAUAAAGCGUAUGUCUUGAAUACAUAAGAUAGAUUUAUUAUCUAUUACCUU
rnacentral:tRNA from 1 species